AGCCCCGUAGUGUAGUGGUCAACAUCCCUUCGGGCUUUCCACCUUGGGACACAGGUUCGAAUCCUGUCGGGGCUA
rnacentral:tRNA from 1 species